rnacentral:lncRNA from 1 species
GUGGGGGCUGGCAAGUCUGAAAUCUCCAAGUGGGCGGUCAGGCUGGCCACAUGGAUCAACUGCCUGCCCCGGAAGCCCUCUUGUUCAGGGGAGGUCAGUCUUUUUGUCCUAUUGAGGCCUUCUGCGGGCCAGAUUGGGCUCCAUCCUGCUGGGGAGGGUGAUGUGCUUCAUUCAAAACCUGCUGCUGAUUCUCACACACGCCCAGAAUAAAUCUGAACCAGUAUCUGGGCAAUGUGGUCCAGGCAAGCUGACCCACAAAGUCAGCCAUCACAGCAUUGAAAGUCUGGCCUGCCACUGGUACCCAGUGGGACCCCAGCCUUGGCUAGUGUGGCCGGGGUGUUCUCCUGCCCAUUUGCUAACAAACCCUUCUUCUCUGGCAGAGCCAUGGGUUUUAAUUUCUUGGCCCAGUGGAACCUGCUCUCUGAGGACCACCAUAGUUCUCGCUGACCAUGCUGUGUGCUGGAGCUGGAGUAGCCCAGCCAGAGGCCUGCAAGUGCUCUGGUGGACGGCUUCUCUCAGCAUUACCUGUCUGGUGGAUUUCUGGGCCCCAACUUGGCUGAACCUGCCGCCUCACCCUGCUUUACACCAUGUGCGUGCAGAGGCGAUGCUUCAGCCUCACUCGCCUCUGGAACUCCCUCUUGCCUCUUGCAGCUUUGCCGUCAGGCACUUACACAUUUACAAACUGACCCUUUGGUUAUCACAGAACCUUCUUCUUUGCCUCUGGUGAGACUGCCCAUCUUGAAGCCUGUUUUGUCCAAUGUCAAUGUACUGUUUGGCCUUGCGAAACUUGGCUGCUGUCAUGGUGCUUCUUUCCUCC